UACGGGAGGGGGCUAGCGUUGUUCGGAAUUACUGGGGCGUAAAGCGCACGUAGGCGGCUUUGUAAGUUAGAGGUGAAAGCCCCGGGGGCUCAACUCCGGAAUUGCCUUUAAGACUGCAUCGCUAGAAUUGUGGAGAGGUAAGUGGAAUUCCGAGUGUAGAGGUGAAAUUCGUAGAUAUUCGGAAGAAACACCAGUGGCGAAGGCGACUUACUGGACACAUAUUGACGCUGAGGUGGCGAAAGCGUGGGGAGCAAA
rnacentral:rRNA from 1 species